CCUGCUCUUUCCUCACACUGAUUAAGUCUUCCUUGGCCUGAAAUGAGAUCCUUGUUUCCUUGCGCGGGAAGUUUCUGGAAGCUCCCACACUGAGGAGGAAGAGAGAAACCUCCGUUUUCUUAUCUACACGUGUGAUGGGAAUUAUAGCUCAAAUUACAAUACAUUUUAAUUAUUGUGGGUGCUUGUGGGUAUGUUUUGAAUGUCUGGGUGUGUAAGUGUCUCUGUGGGCUGCCACAUCUCUGCUUCCAUGUGCAUGUGUCACACUUGAGGAUAUGACGAAGCCUGGUAUUCUGGUUUGCGUCCAGGCUGUGUCACUAAUGUUGUUAUCGUACACAGGCUGCCCAUUGUCAGGUUCUAGUCUGCGACUGCUAUACAUCACUGAUUUGAAGUUUUUUGCCCGUGUGUAACUGUGUGUCACACUAUUGUGCAUCUCUGUGUGUGUAUAAUCAGUAGGAAUGUGCUCAAUUAAGCGAGAUGGGGUGGGGGACAUAAAGGGGCAACGGAAGAACAAUCUCCUCAUUCUGUUGGGUCUCCCCUUGGGGAAAUUUGUGACACAUGGGGACAGUCAGGGCAGCAGGAGUCUGUAUGACUCACAGGAUGACAAACAUCAGCUGACAAAGAGACUAUAAAGCUAUUUUAAGUCCUACUUGUAUAUGCAUUAUAUACCCAUAUGAACAGCACCUCAGUUUCCUUUCAUUGUUAGAACCAGAAUAGGCUCUAAAAUGGAAGCUCGUAUUUUAUUUCUCCAAAUGGGGACAAACCCACAGUGCCUUAUUACCUCUGACUCAUCUCCUUGUGUCUGUGUGUGUGGGAUAUUCUCCAAUCAGCUCUGCCAUGUUCUCUACAUAUGGCUCAGUCGGUUGCCAGGUUUGACUAAUUGCUGAAUAUGUUUAUCUUUCCGCAGGUCAUUCAGCUCAGCCAGGCCCUGAGCAGAGCCAAUAAUGGCCACUGGAUAUAUCUGUAAUGAAGAUGUGUUGAACAGAGCAAAGCAUCCAGCGCUAGGGCUGAUGGUUACUGUGGCAACCAUAUAACUCAAGAAGAAAGUGGCAAGAGGAGACGGCCAUUUUGGGUAUGAUUAAAUAGCUCCAGUAGCCGCUGGUCUUGCAUAAUCUUCAGGCAGUAACCUUGACUCAGAAAACCCACAACAGCAGGCAUAACGACCUGAUUCAUGGACGACACAUCCUCUCUAUCCCUCCAGUUUCUCAGUCCCUCCUUCCAUCCCCCAACAUCUGCAGCAGUGGGUUGCUCCUUUUGUUUUGCUUAGUGACGUCCCAUGAGCUAUUUAUAGGGACGUGUUAUUGUGUAAGAUCUAUUGAAAGGCCCAAAGAGCAUGUGCAGGCAUGUUCCCUAUGGUGGCCCCAACUUCUGCAAGAGGAAAGAUAGAAGAGCGUGUAGCUCUAAUAUCAAUGAGUUGGAGAAGGAAACAGUUUAUAGACCAUUACGUUUGAGAUCAAUGGACUCUAUUGAAACUUUUAAAGAGCAGUUUAAUACUUAUUUGUAUAGGCUUGCUAAUUGUUUUUCUGAAGCAUAUCCUUAUCUAGUAAGAUGCUAAAUAAAUUAAUUUUACUGACUUACUUAAUAAGCUGUGCCGUCCUUUUUCUUUUUAAACAAGGAAUACUUUUUUUGGCAGCUGUAGUUGUGAGUCCUAUUGAAAAAGGAUCAGAAUUUAUAUAAUCAAUUUAACAUGUUUUUGAUUAAGCCAUUCUAGUUCCUGUAAAUUAUUUGUAGCUUCAUAGUUAGCUUUUUAAAGAAACCAGAAAUUAAAGAAGAAAAAAGGCUUCCGGGGUUAAUUAGUAGUGCUGCAGCCACAUCGUUAAAACUCCAAAAAGCAUUUAAACUGUUUAGCGAGUGCCAUUAAUAUUGUUAACAGUGUAAUGAUGCUCAGAGUUACCUCACUCAGUCUCUAGCCUGUGAGAGAAAUGAGAAACAGCAGCAUUAACACAAACCACACGAUAAGUAUUUUUAAAAUGAAUCUUUUUAUUUGAAAUGUCAGUGUUCAAGAGAAAAUAAAACAGCAAUAUAAAUAUUAGCAUAAAAAUAAGAGAGUAACACAGGGGUAUAGCGUGGGGUUUAAGCAUUUGAUAAGAAAGAUAAUACAGCAGGAUAGAGUAGGAUUAAUUCAGCAGCGGACGGACUUACACAUAUAUAAUAUUUAUAAUCAUUUGUUCAUAUGGACAGAAAGAGAAUGAGAGGCAUUCUUUCACAAAUGCACAAGAUAAAAUCACCGCAAAAGAACAUUAAGAGGUUACAGAAGGAUAGAAACUUUUCCAUAUUUUUUUUUCUUUUGUUUUGUAUCUUUACAGGGUGAUAAAAGAUAGUAGAGAGAAAAUAAACACAAAAAUAUGCGCAACACAUACCACAAGUUAACUAGUCUACGUGUGUCACUUCUUUUACUUAUCUAAAGUUAUCUUUAUCAUUUAUUUACACUUAAGUGUUAGUUGGCUUCCAUGGUGCUUAGUUACUACAUUGCAACACAAACUGCUGAAGAACAUCUCAAAUUUUUUUUAUUAUUGUUUUUUUUUUUAAACUGUGGUUUUCUUAAUUUUUUUUUCUUAAAAACAAAAUGCAACACAUUCCAGUA